AUUGAACGCUGGCGGCAGGCCUAACACAUGCAAGUCGAACGAGUGGCGGACGGGUGAGUAAUGUCUGGGAAACUGCCUGAUGGAGGGGGAUAACUACUGGAAACGGUAGCUAAUACCGCAUACCAUCGGAUUUCCCCAGAUGGGAUUAGCUGGUUGGUGGGGUAACGGCGCACCAAGGCGACGAUCCCUAGCUGGUCUGAGAGGAUGACAAGCUACACUGGAACUGAGAGACGGCCAGGACUCCUACGGGAGGCAGCAGUGGGGAAUAUUGCGCAAUGGGGGCAACCCGAACACAGCAAUGCCGCGUGAAUGAAGAAGGCCUUCGGGUUGUAAAGUUCUUUCGGUAUUGAGGCGUUAAAUACAGAAGAAGCACCGGCUAACUCCGUGCCAGCAGGCGCGGUAAUAC
rnacentral:rRNA from 1 species